ACGUGUAUGCGUCACUAAGCUCAACAAGCUGAUCCCAGAGAGCCAGGUUUUUCUUACAGUACGCUAAGUACAUACAGUACGUAGUCGUACGGAGCGGCCGGCGACAUGUGGAGGCUGAAGGUCGGGGAGGGCAGCGGGCCUUGGUUGCGGUCGACCAACGGCUUCCUUGGCCGCACGGUGUGGGAGUUCGAUACCAGCGCCGGCACGCCGGAGGAGCGCGCCGAGGUGGAGAGGGUGCGACGGGAGUUCGCCGACGGCCGGUUCCGGCGCAGGGAGUCCGCAGAUCUCCUCAUGCGCUUGCAGUAUGCGAAACAAAACAACCAAGGCGAGCAGCACUGUCGCUUACCACCAGUGAAGAAGCUUGAGGAAAAAGACGAGGUGACGGAGGAGAUGGUGCUGGCGUCGCUGAGGCGAGCCCUGGACCAGUUCUCUUCGCUGCAGUCAGACGACGGCUGCUGGCCCGGGGAUUUCAGCGGGAUCAUGUUCAUCAUGCCCGGCUUGUUAUUCGCUUUGUACGUCACCAGAUCACUUGAUGCCGUGGUGACGCCGGAGCAUCGACGAGAGAUUUGCCGGUACAUCUACAAUCAUCAGAACGAGGACGGGGGAUGGGGCACCCUGAUUUUAGGGUCGAGCAGCAUGUUCGGCACAUGCUCAAACUACAUCACCCUGAGGCUCCUCGGCGAGGAGCUAGAUGCCAACGUGGCGUUGACACAGGGGCGUGGCUGGAUAUUGUCCCACGGUGGCGCAACUCUUGUGCCGCAGUGGGGAAAGAUAUGGCUCUCGAUACUAGGGGUAUAUGACUGGUCCGGGAAUAACCCGAUCUUUCCCGAGCUAUGGCUAGUGCCGAAAUUUCUACCAUUUCAUCCAGGGAAAUUCUGGUGUUUAUGUCGAAUGGUCUACUUGCCCAUGGCCUAUCUCUACGGGAAGAAAUUCGUAGGGCCCAUCACGCCAACGAUCUUGGCGUUAAGGGAGGAGAUAUAUGACAUGCCGUACCACAAGAUUGACUGGGGCCAGACUCGCAACACAUGUGCCAAGGAGGAUCUUGUGUGUCCACGCACAAUGUUGCAGAAUGUUGUGUGGACUUCACUGUAUAAGUGUGUGGAACCAGUGUUAAGCAACUGGCCGAUCAACAAGCUAAGGGAGAAAGCAUUGAACAAUCUCAUGGAGCACAUCCACUACGAGGACGACAACACACAGUACCUCUGCAUAUGUGCCGUUAACAAGGCUCUGAACAUGGUCUGUUGUUGGGCUGAAGAUCCGAAUUCAGACGCGUUCAAGCGGCAUCUAGCGAGGAUACCUGAUUUCUUGUGGCUCUCGGAAGAUGGCAUGAAGGCACAGGUGUAUGAUGGCGUUCAGAGCUGGGAGACGUCAUUCAUAAUUCAAGCAAUUUGCGCUACAGAUCUCGUUAGCGAGUAUGGUCAAACUCUCAAGAGAGCCAAUGAAUUCAUGAAAAAAUCACAGGUUCUUUGGAAUCAUCCUGGCGAUGAAAGUUACUCACAUCGCCACAGAUCGAAAGGUUCAUGGACCCUUUCGAGUGCGGACAAUGGUUGGACUGUAUCAGACACUACUGCAGAAGCACUUAAGGCCUUACUUUUGCUGUCAAAGAUCUCUAGCAACCUUGUCGGUAACCCAAUAGAAAUCGAAAGGGUGCAUGAUGCUGUUGAUUGCCUUCUAUCUUUUCUGAACAAAGAUGGUACCUUUUCUACAUAUGAAUGUAAAAGAACUUCUGCUUGGAUAGAGGUCCUCAAUCCUUGUGAGAGUUUUCCAAACAUGAUCGUUGAUCAUCCAUAUCCCGAAUGCACUUCAUCGGUUCUUCAAGCUUUGAUGUUGUUCAAAGAACUAGAUUCUAGUUACCGUACUAAGGAGAUUGCAACAUGUAUAAAAAACGCAACAACAUUUAUUGAGAACACACAAGGAGAAGAUGGUUCAUGGAUAGGAACUUGGGGUGUGUGUUUCACCUAUGGAGCCUUCUUUUCAGUUAAAGCAUUAGUUGGUGCUGGAAGAACAUACGAGAAUAGUUGUUCCAUCAGGAAAGCAUGUCACUUUAUAUUAUCAAAGCAGCUCAUUACUGGUGGAUGGGGAGAAAGUCAUGUAUCUAAUGAAGCAAAGGUGUAUGUAAAUAUCGAAGGUGACCGUGCUCAUGCAGUGAAUACUUCUUGGGCAAUGCUGACUUUAAUAUAUGCUGGACAGAUUGAACGAGAUCCAACACCAUUGCAUCGUGCUGCAAAAGAAUUGAUCAAUAUGCAGAUGGAUACGGGAGAAUUUCCCCAACAAAAAAUAUGGAUUCGCCUACCAGAGACCUAGAACAGGAAGAAAUUGUCGAGGGUAUAAUCCACGACGCCCCCGAUGUUGAACGAGCUGAAUCUCCGCCGUCGUAUCUGAAUCCCUCCGAGGAUGGAAUGGAGGUCGACCGACGUGAGGAUGAAGCCGACGCCUACGAUGAUGGAGAAGCCGACACCUCCGAUGAUGGAGAAGGCGAUAACUCUGAUGAUGGAGAAGCCAGCGAGGCCUCCACAUCGAGCAAAGCUACGAAACGAGGGCCGACCAAAAAGUUGGAUGUACGAACGCAUUACACAUUUGAGGUCAUAGCCCCUACGGGCGAACCCAAGUUACCCAAGUAGGCUGCCUCCGUAUUUAAGAAACAAUGCGGAGUUCUGGUUAGGGAUCAUGUCCCGAUCAGCGUUCGGGAGUGGCAUAAGCGCAAAGGGGCGGAAGAUAAUGAGUAUGUCGCCGAAAGGUACAAAGAGGAUCUUUGGAAUGACCUCAUGGCACAUUUCAACCUGCCAGAAUGCGAGGAUA